UACGAAGGGGGCUAGCGUUGCUCGGAAUCACUGGGCGUAAAGGGUUCGUAGGUGGCCUGCUAAGUCAGACGUGAAAUCCCUCAGCUUAACUGGGGAACUGCGUCUGAGACUGGUGGGCUUGAGUGCAGGAGAGGAACGCGGAAUUCCAGGUGUAGCGGUGAAAUGCGUAGAUAUCUGGAGGAACACCGGUGGCGAAGGCGGCGUUCUGGACUGCUACUGACACUGAGGAACGAAAGCCAGGGGAGCAAACGGG
rnacentral:rRNA from 1 species